rnacentral:rRNA from 1 species
AGAGCGAACGCUGGCGGCAGGCCUAACACAUGCAAGUCGAGCGCCCCGCAAGGGGAGCGGCAGACGGGAGAGUAACACGUGGGAACGUACCCUUCAGUUCGGAACAACCCAGGGAAACUUGGGCUAAUACCGAAUACGUCCGUAAGGAGAAAGAUUUAUCGCUGAAGGAUCGGCCCGCGUCUGAUUAGCUAGUUGGUGAGGUAACGGCUCACCAAGGCUACGAUCAGUAGCUGGUCUGAGAGGAUGAUCAGCCUCACUGGGACUGAGACACGGCCCAGACUCCUACGGGAGGCAGCAGUGGGGAAUAUUGGACAAUGGGCGCAAGCCUGAUCCAGCCAUGCCGCGUGGAUGAUGAAGGCCUUAGGGUUGUAAAGUCCUUUCGACGGGGAGGAUAAUGACGGUACCCGUAGAAGAAGCCCCGGCUAACUUCGUGCCAGCAGCCGC